UGGGUGAUCUGCCCUGCACUUCGGGAUAAGCCUGGGGAACUGGGUCUAAUACCGGAUAUACCUCAUUGAUCUCCUGGUUGGUGGGGGAAAGCUUUUGCGGUGUGGGAUGGGCCCGCGGCCUAUCAGCUUGUUGGUGAGGUUACGGCUCACCAAGGCGUCGACGGGUAGCCGGCCUGAGAGGGUGACCGGCCACACUGGGACUGAGACACGGCCCAGACUCCUACGGGAGGCAG
rnacentral:rRNA from 1 species